rnacentral:lncRNA from 1 species
GCGCCGACCCUCCGGGUUUGGAGAGGGUCCAUUUCGUCUCCUCAAAGGUCAAAGUUCAGACCCUUGUUUAGCCUAGGUUCUGUCAAAAUCAAAUCAAAAUACAAUAAAAUAAAAUGUUAUUGGUCGUGUACACAUGUUUAGCAGAUGUUAUUGCCGGUGUAAUAUCUAACAAUUACACAACAAUACACGAGUAGCCUGGUGGUUAGAGGAGGCAGGUAGCCUAGUGGUUAGAGGAGGCAGGUAGCCUGGUGGUUAGAGGAGGCAGGUAGCCUAGUGGUUAGAGGAGGCAGGUAGCCUAGUGGUUAGAGGAGGCAGGUAGCCUAGUGGUUAGAGGAGGCAGGUAGCCUAGUGGUUAGAGGAGGCAGGUAGCCUAGUGGUUAGAGGAGGCAGGUAGCCUAGUGGUUAGAGGAGGCAGGUAGCCUAGUGGUUAGAGGAGGCAGGUAGCCUAGUGGUUAGAGUGUUGGCCUAGUAACUGAAAGGUUGCUAGAUUGAAUCCCCGAGCUGACAAGGUAAAAAUCUGUCGUUCUGCCCCUGAACAAGGUAGGCCGUCAUUAUAAAUAAUAAUUAGUUCUUAACUGACUUGCCUGGUUAACUAAAAAAAAAUAGCUCUGGUUAAAAUGGGAUGCCUGCUAUUUGCACUGCAUUUCUCUGGUCAAAAGAAGGGCACUAUGGGGUGCCUGGCAAAUUCAUCAACACAACAACAACGGAUAAGAUCUUCUGGUUGCAUAUCACCCAGCUAGAGUUCUCCUGGCUAACGAGACUCCACAUGCAGAAAUAUCAGUGGAAUUUAUCGAACUUGAACGAACAUAUUCUCUCGUCAGGUAAAUAUGUUUCCUAGGCCUUUACGUUUGGUUGGAAUGGGUUUUUUAAAUGCCCAAGCCGGUUCACUUUCCUGUUAGUGACAUAUAGGCUAUACUGUAUUUAUUAGUUAUGCCUUUAUUUAUUUAUUUAUUAUUAUAUAUAUAUUUAUUUUAAAUAAACGAAGUCAUACUUAAAAGGGAGAGAUAUCGUGCGCUUUUUUUCUCAUUAUGUUGACAGUCACGCGGGCGUGUAAUAAAGGAACGCGGAGUUAACAUGCGCUGUUAAUUUUUCAUUGCUUUUUUUUUCGUUUAGGGGGCUCACCCACCCAAAAAACCGAGAGAGAGAGACGAGAGGGGUAGAGAGAGAGAGAGAGAGAGAGAACUUGUCAUAAGUACAAAAUAAAGGAAAUGGGAAAAAGGAAUGAAUGGAACUAAAACCAAAACAACAAUUCUGCCUUCGAUGAUGUUCACGUCAUAAACACAUUUUAAAGAAGCACCUCUCCUCUCCUCUCCUCCCCUCUCCUCUACUCUCCUUCUCCCUCCCUCUCUCCCCCUCUCCUCUCCUCUCCUCCCCUCUCCUCUCC